UACGAACGCUGGCGGCAGGCUUAACACAUGCAAGUCGAGCGCCCCGCAAGGGGAGCGGCAGACGGGUGAGUAACGCGCGGGAAUCUACCCAUCACUACGGAACAACUCCGGGAAACUGGAGCUAAUACCGUAUACGUCCUUCGGGAGAAAGAUUUAUCGGUGAUGGAUGAGCCCGCGUUGGAUUAGCUAGUUGGUGGGGUAAUGGCCUACCAAGGCGACGAUCCAUAGCUGGUCUGAGAGGAUGAUCAGCCACACUGGGACUGAGACACGGCCCAGACUCCUACGGGAGGCAGCAGUGGGGAAUAUUGGACAAUGGGCGAAAGCCUGAUCCAGCCAUGCCGCGUGAGUGAUGACGGCCCUAGGGUUGUAAAGCUCUUUCGCAGGUGAAGAUAAUGACGGUAACCUGAGAAGAAGCCCCGGCUAACUUCGUGCCAGCCGCCGCCGUAACAC
rnacentral:rRNA from 1 species